UACGAAGGGGGCUAGCGUUGUUCGGAAUUACUGGGCGUAAAGCGCGCGCAGGCGGCUAUCCAAGUCAGUGGUGAAAGCCCGGAGCUCAACUCCGGAACUGCCAUUGAAACUGUUUAGCUUGAGGACGAGAGAGGUGAGUGGAAUUCCCAGUGUAGAGGUGAAAUUCGUAGAUAUUGGGAAGAACACCGGUGGCGAAGGCGGCUAUCUGGACCGUAACUGACGCUGAGGCGCGAAAGCGUGGGGAGCAAACAGG
rnacentral:rRNA from 1 species